rnacentral:lncRNA from 1 species
UGCGCCCACUGUCUGGCACUCCCUAGUGAGAUGAACCCGGUACCUCAGAUGGAAAUGCAGAAAUCACCCGUCUUCUGCGUCGCUCACGCUGGGAGCUGUAGACCGGAGCUGUUCCUAUUCGGCCAUCUUGGCUCCUCCUCGAAAUGGCAACGCAUAUGGCUAAUAAAACAUAUUGAGGAUGAAUGAGAAAACAACCUGGUUCCUGGAAGGAGAGAAACAAGGUGGAGUCUUCUCACAGAAACAAGGAGAAGGUCAGAGAGACCUCCGGGAGCAUCUCAUCUUGGAGGUAGCUGUUUGCAUGAGGGCAGUGCUUGUCCUGAGAUGCUAGUUUCGCAGAGUGGUGUUCACAAGGGAAAUAAGCUAGGUCAUUACCGUCUACCCUUACACCAGGAAGAGGAAAACAUUUCAGGCUUAUAUACCAAGGCUUUCCUGCCCCUAAGCUGUCCAGAGUUGCCUUAGUAUUGAUUAUCUUAACUUAAUUAUUAUAAAGUUUGCUGGUAAUGCUUUUGUAUUAAGAGUAAAAGAUAACCUUGAGAGCUGCAAACAUGAGCCCAGCGAUCCAGGAGAUCAAGUUAAUAAUUCUGGAUAUCAAGAGAUCCACGAUUAGUCAAUUCCAACCUGUUUUCCUUUGAUGCCUUAAUCAAGGUUUAGUUAUAGUUAACCUACUUUCAAAAUGCUUACUUCCACCCUCCCUCCAAGAAUCACCCUGAGCAUUUCCUCCACUCUCUAAGUUUAGGAAUUUAGGACUUUCCCCCAAGAAAGGCACUGUAGAGAACAAACAUAUGACAUCUCAAAGACACUUCGCCAUUUCAAAUAGGAAAGAAAAAUUUGCAUCCAAACAGGCCAAAUAUUGCACUCACUGUUAAUGUAAUCAUUUUUCUGACUUUGAAUUCCUUUUCCCAAGUGACUAAACAACGUCUUUAUUCUAACCUUUCGGCACUAGGCAGUUUUUCUCCUGCUUUAGUUUCCUCUACAACCUCCGGAAGAGUUUUCCUCAGCCCUGUUACCUGUUUCGUCCAUCAUUCUGUUGCUCACUGGAUUGGUUUUUACAUUAGUGUGUUUUGACAGCACACAAUGGUUUCCUCAGUUACACAACAGACUCAGUGCCAAUAAACUUUUUUUUAGGUAAUGUAAAGCAUAUUUGAGCACAAGAAUGAUUGCAUUUUCAUGGCUAAAAAUAAACAGUUGUUUUUAAUUUUCCAUGAGAAUGCUGGCUCUUAGCACAAGGGGCCACCUUCUACCUGGUGAACUCUUUAUGCCAAAGUCAUCACUACGUGGCUAGAAAUGUGAAAUUCAAGUUUUCCUUAUGUAACAUAAAGGGAAAAGCCCAUAGGCAAAUCUCUCUUUAAUUCCAUCGUAUCACUGCUCAUGCACAGUGCUUUUAAAACAGACUAUAACAAACAUACCCUAACAGAGAAACAAGUCCUACCCUAGCUAAUUUACAUAAAAAGACUAUCUUUAUUUUUAUAGUAACAAAAAAAGCUAGGAUUAUCUCAUUUAAUCCUUAUACCAUCAUUAUGAAGUGGGUAAUGUUAUACUUACAAAAGGAAGUUAAUCAUUUCUUAUUUUCCACAGACACCACAAGCUCAAGAGGCUGCAUUAGCGUUUUUUAUUGGAGGCAUUUUCUUUUCCUCCAGAUUUUGUUUUUGACUGUUAAGGUCAUAGCUACAAACAAUUGAUCAAGCCUAAAAGGGCAUUUAUAAACCACCUGCAUCUACAUUUUUUUCUUACUGUGGAUGGAUUUAAAAAGCCGUUUCAAGAUGAAAUCUUAUGAGUCAUUAUCAUGUCUUCUGAGGGCU